UACGGAGGGUGCAAGCGUUAUCCGGAUUCACUGGGUUUAAAGGGUGCGUAGGUGGGCAAGUAAGUCAGUGGUGAAAUCUCCGGGCUUAACCCGGAAACUGCCAUUGAUACUAUUUGUCUUGAAUACUGUGGAGGUCAGCGGAAUAUGUCAUGUAGCGGUGAAAUGCUUAGAUAUGACAUAGAACACCAAUUGCGAAGGCAGCCGGCUACACAAAUAUUGACACUGAGGCACGAAAGCGUGGGGAUCAAACAGG
rnacentral:rRNA from 1 species